AACGAACGCUGGCGGCAUGCCUAACACAUGCCAGUCGAACGAGACCUUCGGGUCUAGUGGCGCACGGGUGAGUAACGCGUGGGAACCUGCCCUUAGGUUCGGAAUAACUCCCCGAAAGGGGUGCUAAUACCGGAUAAUGUCUUCGGAGCAAAGAUUUAUCGCCUUUGGAUGGGGGCUCGUUGGAUUAGCUAGUUGGUAGGGUAAAAGCCGACCAAGGCGACGUUCCAUGGCUGGUCUGAGAGGAUGAUCAGCCACACUGGGACUGAGACACGGCCCAGACUCCUACGGGAGGCAGCAGUGGGGAAUAUUGGACAAUGGGCGAAAGCCUGAUACAGCAAUGCCGCGUGAGUGAUGAAGGCCUUAGGGUUGUAAAGCUCUUUUACCCGGGAUGAUAAUGACAGUACCGGGAGAAUAAGCUCCGGCUAACUCCGUG
rnacentral:rRNA from 1 species